CCAUGCUGGUCCAUACUGAUAUACCCAGGAAGUAGCUAGGAGUGACAUGCUGGUCCAUACUGAUAUACCCAGGAAGUAGCUAGGAGUGACAUGCUGGACCAUACUGAUAUACCCAGGAAGUAGCUAGGAGUGACAUGCUGGUCCAUACUGAUAUACCCAGGAAGUAGCUAGGAGUGACAUGCUGGUCCAUACUGAUAUACCCAGGAAGUAGCUAGGAGUGACAUGCUGGUCCAUACUGAUAUACCCAGGAAGUAGCUAGGAGUGACAUGAUGGUCCAUACUGAUAUACCCAGGAAGUAGCUAGGAGUGACAUGCUGGUCCAUACUGAUAUAUCCAGGAAGUAGCUAGGAGUGACAUGAUGGUCCAUACUGAUAUACCCAGGAAGUAGCUAGGAGUGACAUGCUGGUCCAUACUGAUAUACCCAGGAAGUAGCUAGGAGUGACAUGCUGGACCAUACUGAUAUACCCAGGAAGUAGCUAGGAGUGACAUGCUGGUCCAUACUGAUAUACCCAGGAAGUAGCUAGGAGUGACAUGCUGGUCCAUACUGAUAUACCCAGGAAGUA